rnacentral:lncRNA from 1 species
GAGAGAGCAGAGAGAGAGGUUGAGAGAGGAAGAUCGAGAGGGAGCCUACCUGAGGCAGGGGUGGCGGUGUGACGGAGACAGCGACGGUGACGGAGGGCCUUGCCGGAGGGGCGGAUUUCAGAGAGGAAAAUGGAGGCAGAAAACCCUAGAAUUUGGGCAUUCUUGAGGUAAAAUAGCUAAACGUUUGAUGCUUAUAUAAUUGAACACUUGGGAGCGUGGAAUGUGAUUAUAUGAUAGAAAGUGGGAGAUAUUGGGUAUGCUACUAUGUGUUGAGCCAAUUUUGAUUUAUGAAUAAGGGAAGCACUACUUUUAGUAUUGAUUGGAGAAGUUGUGGUGAUUAAUUGUGUUAUAACUUGCUUGCUUUGUGUUGAUGAGUUAAACAUGAGUUAAAUUUCAAGCUAAAUCAUGCUAAUGUGUAAUAAGAUGAUGUAAUUGAGUCCCUAUGGUUGUAUUUGACAAAAGUAUGAAUUAUAUGUUAAGUUGAAACAAAGGGACUUUGCUGUCAGUUUUCGGCUUGACAGGGCAGUAUGUUUCGAGGUGCUUCUGAUGGUGUUAUCGUAGUCUAAAUAACUUGAAAUUUUUACUGUAAUAACUUCGGCAUGAGUGGUACGUGUCUGCAAAAUUUCAGCUUAAAUCCAACACCGUUAGAUAUGUCAAACGAAUUUCUGAAAUGUACUGCACGAAGAAGCGUAGGUCAGUGGCAGUUUCUGCCUUUGGUGAUAUAACUUCUUAUACACUUGAGACAUUGUAUUUUUGUAAAUUCCUGAUAAAUAUAGACUUUAAUAUCUUUCUAAAAAGAUAAAGCUUGUAUUUUUCUUUGAAGGGGUUGAUUUUAUAUGAUAUUUCAAAGUUGAGAUUCAUAUAUGAUUACAUAUUUGAAGUGACUUUAAUAUGAUUUCAACUUGAGAUAUCCCAAGAAAUAUGAUGUUAUUGUUUGUUUUGCAGUUAGUUAAGUCCAUAAAAGUAGAAUACUCAGAUUAGAGGAUGCAAUCCUGUGUGACGCUUGAGGUAAAAUAGCUAAAUGUUUGAUGCUUAUAUAAUUGAACACUUAGGAGCGUGGAAUGUGAAUAUAUGAUAGAAAUUGGGAGAUAUUGGGUAUGUUACUAUGUGUUGAGCCAAUUUUGAUUUAUGAAUAAGGGAAGAACUACUUUUAUAUUGAUUGGAGAAGUUGUGGUGAUUAAUUGUGUUAUAACUUGCUUGCUUUGUGUUGAUGAGUUAAACAUGAGUUAAAUUUCAAGCUAAAGCAUGCUAAUGUGCAAUAAGAUGAUGUAAUUGAGUCCCUAUAGUUUGCAGGAGAAUGCUACUCCAAAAAGGAAAUUGAUGAAGUAAGGAUAGAGUGGAGUUGGUGCUAAAAAGCAGAGAAGAAAAGGGUAGGCGG